UACAGAGGGGGCAAGCGUUGUUCGGAAUUACUGGGCGUAAAGGGUCUGUAGGUGGCCAACUAAGUCAAACGUGAAAUCCCUCAGCUUAACUGGGGAACUGCGUCUGAUACUGGAUGGCUCGAGUGUGGGAGAGGAAUGCGGAAUUCCAGGUGUAGCGGUGAAAUGCGUAGAUAUCUGGAGGAACACCGGUGGCGAAGGCGGCAUUCUGGACCACAACUGACACUGAAAGACGAAAGCCAGGGGAGCAAACGGG
rnacentral:rRNA from 1 species